GGAUGACUUGUGGCUAGGGGUGAAAGGCCAAUCAAACUCGGAAAUAGCUGGUUCUCCGCGAAAACUAUUGAGGUAGUGCCUCGGAUGUUUUCCUAUGGGGGUAGAGCACUGGAUGGGCUAGGGGGUCGCGAGACCUACCAAACCUAACCAAACUCCGAAUACCAUAGAGACAAGUCCGGGAGACAGACGGCGGGUGCUAAGGUCCGUCGUCAAAAGGGAAACAGCCCUAACCUACAGCUAAGGUCCCCAAGUCAUCACUAAGUGGGAAAGCAUGUGGGAAUCCCAAAACAACCAGGAGGUUGGCUUAGAAGCAGCCAUCCUUUAAAGAAAGCGUAACAGCUCACUGGUCUAAAUAAGGGUUCCUGCGGCGAAGAUGUAACGGGGCUAAAGUGAUGCACCGAAGCUUAGGGUUCAGAAUUUAUUCUGAGCGGUAGCGGAGCGUUCCGUAAGCGGAUGAAGCCGAAGGGUAACCGACGGUGGACGUAUCGGAAGUGCGAAUGCUGACAUGAGUAACGAUAAUGGGAGUGAAAAACUCCCACGCCGGAAGACCAAGGUUUCCUGUCCCAUGCUAAUCAGGGCAGGGUAAGUCGGCCCCUAAGGCGAGGCAGAAAUGCGUAGUCGAUGGGAAACGGGUUAAUAUUCCCGUACUUAUAUAAUCAGUGAUGGAGGGACGGAGAAGGCUAGGCAAGCUUGGCGUUGGUUGUCCAAGUGAAAGUGCGUAGGCUGAAGACUUAGGUAAAUCCGGGUUUUCAAGGCCGAGACACGAGACGAGCUCCCAAGGGAGUGAAGUUGUUGAUGCCCUGCUUCCAGGAAAAGCUUCUAAACUUAUGAUUAUAUGAACCGUACCCCAAACCGACACAGGUUGGCAGGUUGAAUAUACCAAGGCGCUUGAGAGAAUGAUGUUGAAGGAACUCGGCAAAUUGCCCCCGUAACUUCGGGAGAAGGGGGCCCACCGUGAAGGCAACUUUACGGUGGGGGCACAGACUAGGGGGUGGCGACUGUUUACUAAAAACACAGGACUCUGCGAACUCGUAAGAGGAUGUAUAGAGUCUGACUCCUGCUCGGUGCCGGUAAGUUAAGGAAGAGGGUUAGCCUUCGGGCGAAGCUCGCAACCGAAGCUCCGGUAAACGGCGGCCGUAACUAUAACGGUCCUAAGGUAGCGAAGUUCCUUGUCGGGUAAGUUCCGACGCGCAUGAAUGGCGUAACGACUGGAGCACUGUCUCCACUUCCGACUCGGUGAAAUAGUAGUGGCGGUGAAGAUGCCGCCUACCCGCGACAAGACGGAAAGACCCCAUGAACCUUUACUAUAGCUUAGCAUUGGGAUUGUAUAUAUAAUGUGUAGGAUAGGCGGGAGACUAUGAAGCGGUGUCGCUAGGCAUUGUGGAGUCGCUGUUGAAAUACCGCCCUUUAUCUAUUUGAUUCCUAAUCCGGCAACGGAGACAUUGCUUGGUGGGUAGUUUGACUGGGGUGGUCGCCUCCAAAAGAGUAACGGAGGCUUUCAAAGGUACCCUCAGUACGGUUGGUAAUCGUACGUAGAGUGCAAUAGCAAAAGGGUGCUUGACUGUGAGGCCAACAAGCCGAUCAGGGUCGAAAGACGGAUAUAGUGAUCCGGUGGUUCCGUAUGGAAGGGCCAUCGCUCAAAGGAUAAAAGGUACUCCGGGGAUAACAGGCUGAUGAUGCCCAAGAGUCCAUAUCGACGGCAUCGUUUGGCACCUCGAUGUCGGCUCAUCACAUCCUGGGGCUGAAGCCGGUCCCAAGGGUAUGGCUGUUCGCCAUUUAAAGCGGUACGUGAGUUGGGUUCAGAACGUCGUGAGACAGUUCGGUCCCUAUCUGCCGUGGGUGUAGGAAUAUUGAUAGGAUCUGUCCCUAGUACGAGAGGACCGGGAUGGACGUAUCUCUGGUGGACCUGUUGUCGUGCCAACGGCAUAGCAGGGUAGCUAUAUACGGGAUGGAUAACCGCUGAAGGCAUCUAAGCGGGAAACCGGCCAAAAAACGAGUAUUCCCUGAGAGUCGUGGAAGACUACCACGUUGAUAGGCUGGGUGUGGAAGCGCAGUAAUGUGUGAAGCUUACCAGUACUAAUAGCUCGAUCGGCUUGAU
rnacentral:rRNA from 18 species